rnacentral:rRNA from 1 species
AUUGAACGCUGGCGGCAUGCCUAACACAUGCAAGUCGAACGCGAAAGUCCUUCGGGCGGAGUAGAGUGGCGGACGGGUGAGUAAUGCGUGGGAAUCUACCUCGUAGUGGGGGACAACCCGGGGAAACUCGGCUAAUACCGCAUACGUUCUAUGGAAGAAAGGGGGCCUCUGCUUGCAAGCUCUCGCUAUGGGAUGAGCCCACGUCCGAUUAGCUAGUUGGUGGGGUAAAGGCCUACCAAGGCGACGAUCGGUAGCUGGUCUGAGAGGAUGACCAGCCACACUGGGACUGAGACACGGCCCAGACUCCUACGGGAGGCAGCAGUGGGGAAUAUUGGACAAUGGGCGCAAGCCUGAUCCAGCAAUGCCGCGUGUGUGAAGAAGGCCUGCGGGUUGUAAAGCACUUUCAGCAGGAACGAAACGGUGGCCACUAAUACUGGCUACUAAUGACGGUACCCUGAAGAAGAAGCACCGGCUAACUACGUGCCAGCAGCCGCGGUAAU